AAACAUCAGUUCCCAUUUGAUCACCAAAGUUAAGCAACAUUGAGCCUGAUCAAUACCUAAAUGAGUGACUGCUUGGUAAUAAUAGGUGCUGUAAG